ACGGCCAUACCAUGCUGAAAACGCCGGUUCUCGUCCGAUCACCGAAGUUAAGCAUCAUCGGGCGCUAUCAGUACUUGGGAGGGUGACCACCUAAGAACACCGCGUGCCGUUA
rnacentral:rRNA from 1 species